CCUAAAAGCUGUACAGUAUAUUUGUAUAUUUAAGGGGUAGCAGUUAAAUGCACCUUUAUAAUAAAAAAAAAAAUGUAUACCGUGUGUUUUGGUUCCCUUUCAAAGGGAACUUCAAGGUUGCAUUUAGCAUAACAGUAUGGGAACGCUUUGGGCGCGUGACCGGUAUCUGAAGCUUGUGUAAAAUCAUGCCUCUACUUAUAGGCCUGCCAUGAUCAGGUGACGUGGUAAUUAAGCGCGUCGCAUGAUAUAUAUAUGGCACCUGUGAACCGCGCCGCCAGCCUUAUUGUCUUCAGCGAGACUGCAUGUCUGUUGUUUGUGUGACAAAAACGCUUCAUUUCUACUCGAUAUUUUCUCAAAAUCUCUGAACUUUUCUAUCCUUCUUUAGAGGAAAAGAGAGGUGAGCACCACAGCUCUGGGGAAAGAACCUGUGCUGGCUUUGAUGGCUCUGAGUCUUCAUCCAGAGGUAGGGGCUGGAAGAGGUGAUGUCUGGGGUGAAAAGGUCAGCUAUAAUCCUGCCAGUGCAAUAUGUGAUGCUGCUGUUGUAAAUGUCCUGAAGCGUCGGCAGACUACAUCUGAUGAUCCUCUGAACCGUCCCGAUCAUGCAUUGGAGCUUGUCCUGCUCUUAUGAGGUGGAGGAUCCAAACCAGACGGUUGUAGAUGAAGUGCGCAUGGACUUGAUGAUCGCUGUGGAGGACUGCAGCACUGACGCAGAAAUACAGAAGAUGGCCAUCAGCACAGGUUCCAUCAUACUGUCUAUAAACACCGGACCUUACAUUCAAAGCCAGAGGAGACGGUGGUGAGGAAAAACUCCCUGAGACGAUAUGAGGAAGAAACCUUGAGAGGAACCAGACUCAAAAGAAACCCGUCCUCAUCUGGGUGACACCGGAUAGUGUGAUUAUAAAUAAAUACACCCCUUCUAUAAAUGUGCUAAUACUACAUGGUGAAAUAGUGCAGUUGUGU